rnacentral:lncRNA from 1 species
CCUUGUGAGUUAAGCAAUACAGGAAACCCUGCCUUAACGAAGAGAAAUUUGGACACAUACAGAGACACCAGGGAUGUUCAUACGCAGAGGACAGACCAGGUAAGCACAAAGCAAGAAAGCUGACCUUCUGCAAACCAAGAGAGGCCUGGGAAGAAACAAACCUACCAACACCUUGAUCUUGGAUUUCCAGCUCCAGAACUGUGAGAAAAUGAAGUUCUGUUGUUUAAGCCACUCAGUCUGUGAUGUUUUGCUAUGGGAGCCUUAGCUAAGACCGUUCAUCCAGCCAUCCAGCAACCCAAGUCAUCCAUCCAUGUAUCCAGCCAUCUGAAAAUAAUGAUCUAGUAUUUAGCAGGCUGCCUACUGUAUUGAUCUUUGGAUACAGAAAUAAAGUAUAUAGUUCAUGUCCUCAAGGCCCUCAUAGUCUAAUGUGGUGAUGGGGUGGGUGGGGGGCAAACAGCUAAUAUAGUUCAGGUGUGCUGAGCUAUGAUGGGGGGGAUAGAGAAUAGAGAACCAUGGAAAUACAUAGAAGGAAGCUCUGUCCCAGUCUGAGUUAAGCGGGGUAGAGGCAGAGCUAGGGAGUCCUGAGAAGGUAACCUGAGGAACAGCGAAGGUAAACACCCCCUCAUCCCACAAACCAUUUCAUAGGCUCUAUUCAUUGUCCUGAACUCCGUCUGGGUAAAGGCCAGUUACCUGCUAAGAUUUUUUUUUUUUUUUGUCUUUUUAGGGCCAUACCUGCAGCAUAUGGAGGUUCCCAGGCGAGGGGUCAAAUUGGAGCUGUAGCUGCUGGCCUACACCACAGUUCAUAGCCACACCGGAUCCUUAACCCACUGAGCAAGGCCAGGGAUUGAACCUGUGUCCUCAUGGAUCCUAGUUGGGUUCAUGAACCACUGAGCCAUGACAGGAACUCCCACCUGCUAAGAUAUUCUUGAUUUCAAAUAUGUACAUAGAUUUUCAGGAUUACUGGCCUCUAGAUUUUCUUUGCCCUUCCUCUGUCAACAAACCUAAUACAGCUCUGAUCCCUUUUGUGUGCUUGAAAUGCCUAUACCUUCCUUUCUGUCAAAAUCAAGCCAUAUCUCAAAUAUGCAAACAAGUUCUUGCCAUAUCUUGUGAAAACUUGUCAUUUUACAUCCUAGACAUGUAACAAUAUCUCCUGUCCCGUAGAAGUUAACCAGGCCAUUGUAGACCUUGUUCUAAGAGCUAACAAUUUCCAACGGGCAUAACACAGAGUUGAUAUACAUGCAUUGUGGUUCAAGCCACAUCAUAGACUGCCUGUCAAAUAUCACUUAUUUAUGAGAUCACCAUGAGUUUUUGAGAUUCAACUUUAUCUGUUAUUGGAAAAUUAGAGAUAAACAUGAUGUCAUUAGUUUGGCUACACUGCUGAAUGCAGAGAAAAUACUGUCUACUCUGAAAUGUGUCCAUAAGUGAGUGAUGUAGGACUUGAGAGAAGAUGACAUCAGGGAACUUGUGGUUAUCCAUAUGGAAAAAAAAAAUUGAAUAUCAUAUAGGAAAAAAAUUGAAGUUCACCCCUUCUUUAUACCAUACAGAAAAAAUUAAUUCUAGGCACCUUAUAGAUUUAAGUUGGAAAAUGGUGAAAGAGCAAAACUUCUAGUAUUAGUAAAGCUCACUUGGAAGAAUUCUGAGCACUUUUGCAACUAAACUUCACAAUGUUGAAUAAACAAUUGUAAAGAUGAAUAAAGGAAGGUAAAGACAGAAUGACUGGUGGUGAUGACGGGUUAGGUCAUCAUCCAUUUUAUAGAUGGUUGUCAAGAAGGGAACAUUUGAUCAGUGUCUGAAGGUAGCUAAAGAAUGAGCCAUAUAGAUACCAGGAGAAAGAGGAUUCUACCGGAGCGUAGCAAAUGCAAAUGUCCUGAGGUGGAGUUUGUAAGGUAUGUUAAAGCGACAGCAAUGGAGUCUAGCAAACCUGAAGGAGAGUGAGUGAGCCAGUGCUGGUGGCCACAAGGCCAGAGAGACAUCAUGGGUUAUAGGUAAUGGAUCUGGGAAUUUAAGUAAAAUGUGAAGCCUAAGGAAGAUUUCAUUAUGUGCAUAAAAAAAUUUAACAUAGAUUUAUUUAUUUAUUUAUUUUUGCUAAACUGUCUGAAUUCCUAAAAUUGAUUAAUGGUUCUAGUUCCAAUUCAGCUGGGCUUUAUAAUUGUAAGUGGAAGGGAUUAAACUUUUAUGCAGUAAACAAAUAUAGAUAAACAAUAUUCUGGGGGAUUUGUGAUUUCCCAGAAGUAAAUAAUAAUAAUAUUCUCCAUUGAUAAAUAAUAGCAAUAUAACUGUAUUCCAGCCACUCUGAACUAUGUGUGGAAGCAUGUACCAUCAAUUACUACUAGGAGUUAGGAGAAAAUUAAAAAUUAUUUCUCAAUAUUUCCUCUCGUAAUUAAAUGUUGUAUGUUUAACAUCACCAAACACUGUCAAAAUAAAUGUCGUAUUUUCCAUACUGAACUUGUUAGACCAGGCUUAGUUUGAAUCUUUGCUCUGCCAUAUACUUAAUCUUUUACCUUGAGCAAAUUUUCCCAGCAUUUUUGAGUCUUAGUUUCUUUCUUCCUGGCAGCAUGGGCAUAAUAGUCUCUAAUUCAUAGAGAAUAUCUGCUAAACACUUGUCCUGGUUUUUACCACAUGGUAAGCAUUUAAAAAUAGUUGUAGCUAGGAGUUCCCAUCAUGGCUCAGAGGUUAAUGAAUCCGACUAGGAACCAUGAGUGGGUUAAGGAUCUGGCAUUGCUGGGAGCUGUGGUGUAGGUUGCAGAUGUGGCUCAGAUCCCGUGUUGUUGUGGCUGUGGUGUAGGCUGGUGGCUACAGCUCUGAUUAGACCCCUAGCCUGGGAAUCUCCAUAUGCCGCGGGAGCGGCCCUAGAAAAGGCAAAAAGACAAAAAAAAAAAAA